UAUAGUUGACUGAUAAUAAGUCCUUGGGGCUGUUAUUGUUACGCAGUCUCUCAUUGGUCAAUAUCGUGCGUUCAACCGUGAAUUUGUCAGUCUCCUUUUGCAUAUUUGACAGAAACUUUUAGCUAACUGUCAUUGUCUUCUUGCUUGUAUUGUGUGCAGACGUGUUUUAGAAAUUUUGCUUGAAAUUUAAUUAAAGUUCCACCGUAAUACGAGCACUCAGAUAUAAUAAAAGGAUAUAACAAUGGACAGGAGGAAUGAUUACACGUAUUCAAGUUAUUAUAAGACUCGUUUGACAAAGAAUGUGUAUCCAUGUCAUCUGUCUCUAGGGACUGAUCAGAAUGCGAAGCACCUGAUUCCAUACGGGAUUCAUUAUCAAGUAUCAGAAACAUCAGAUUCAUCAUUACUGCUUGAGCUAGAAGCA
rnacentral:lncRNA from 1 species